AUUCCAGCUCCAAUAGCGUAUAUUAAAGUUGUUGCAGUUAAAAAGCUCGUAGUUGGAUUUCUGUUUCUGGGAUCUGGUCCGCCUCACGGUGAGCACUGGAUAACUGGGGACAUCCUCUCGAAGGCGGCGGGUGCACUUGAUUGUGUGUUUGUUGAAUUCGGGACCUUUACUUUGAAAAAAUUAGAGUGUUCAAAGCAGGCGUCGGCUUGAAUACAUUAGCAUGGAAUAAUGGAAUAGGACUUUGGUUCUAUUUUGUUGGUUUCUAGGACCGAAGUAAUGAUUAAUAGGGACAGUUGGGGGCAUUAGUAUUUAAUUGUCAGAGGUGAAAUUCUUGGAUUUAUGAAAGACUAACUACUGCGAAAGCAUUUGCCAAGGAUGUUUUCAUUA
rnacentral:rRNA from 1 species